CCUACGGGAGGCAGCAGUGGGGAAUAUUGCACAAUGGGCGCAAGCCUGAUGCAGCGACGCCGCGUGAGGGAUGACGGCCUUCGGGUUGUAAACCUCUUUCAGCAGGGACGAAGCGCAAGUGACGGUACCUGCAGAAGAAGCACCGGCCAACUACGUGCCAGCAGCCGCGGUAAUACGUAGGGUGCAAGCGUUGUCCGGAAUUACUGGGCGUAAAGAGCUCGUAGGCGGUUUGUCGCGUCGUCUGUGAAAACCAGCAGCUCAACUGUUGGCUUGCAGGCGAUACGGGCAGACUUGAGUAUUUCAGGGGAGACUGGAAUUCCUGGUGUAGCGGUGAAAUGCGCAGAUAUCAGGAGGAACACCGGUGGCGAAGGCGGGUCUCUGGGAAAUAACUGACGCUGAGGAGCGAAAGCGUGGGUAGCGAACAGGAUUAGAUACCCUGGUAGUCCACGCCGUAAACGGUGGGCGCUAGGUGUGGGUUUCCUUCCACGGGAUCCGUGCCGUAGCUAACGCAUUAAGCGCCCCGCCUGGGGAUACGGCCGCAAGGCUAAAACGUUAAGGAAUUGACGG
rnacentral:rRNA from 1 species